GUUAGGCAUGGUGGCAUUGCCUAUAAUCCCAGCUGAGGCAGGCUUGAGUCCAGGAGUUCUGGGCUGUAAUGUGCUAUGCUGAUCGGGUGUCCACAGUAAGUUUGGCAUCAAUAUGGUGACCUCCUGGGAAUGAGGGACCAUCAAGUUGCCUAAGGAGGUGUGAACUAGUCCAGGUGGGAAAUGGAGCAGGUCAAAACUCCUGUGUUGAUAAGUAGUGGGAUCAUGUCUGUGAAUAGGCACUGUACUCCAGCCUGGGCAAAAUAAU
rnacentral:SRP_RNA from 1 species